CUGGCUUAAGGAGCCAUUUGAGGGUAGAUUUUGUUUAAUUUUAUUUAAAUACCUAAAGAUACAGAGUAUACUAAUAAUCGUUUGUCUUUAUCUGUCAUUUUGACUUAUGUAUUUGUAAGAAAGGGAUAAAACAUAAUUUAACUAAAUCAGGCCCGUAAAGUUUUAUGAAGGGGGUUAGGCGAAAACACCCAUGACUCAGGAACAAAUAUCCGUGCUCAUCACACAAAUAAAUGCCCUUACCGGGAUUCGAACCCGGGAUCAUCGGCUUCGCAGGCAGGGUCACUACCCACUAGGCCAGACAGGCCAUC